rnacentral:lncRNA from 1 species
CUUAGCCCUAUCUCCCUCUAGGGUUAAAUAUAACCCUAUAAAAUAAUAUAUAUAUAUAUAUAUAUAUAGAGAACGAUGUUUCAGUGCAGAAAAAAAAUAAUAAAUAGGAUGUUUUGGUGCAGAGAAGAUAUCGGCAUAUGCCCACUAAGUUAUUAAUGAAAUUAUGAAAUAUCAUUAAAAAAAUGGGUUUCUACGUGGAAAAUCUCCCUUUAUGUUAACUAAUCACGUGGCAACAUAAAAACAUGCAAAAGCCAGUUCUUGGUAGCGCUGUUUCUGAAAGGAUGAUUAGCCUCCUUCUAAAGCUUUUGUUUUCUUCAACGGAACCAACAAUCCCAAUGGUUGAUUGAAGAGUAAAAGCAUGUGCCGAGAUCAUUUGAAAAGAUACUUGGUGUGGGAGGCAUGCAUUAGCAACAUUCACCAUCCCAUGAGCUUCUACCAUUCAGUUUCCAUACCCAGAAAGAGCCUUCAGGACAGCCAGAGAACCAUGAGUAACUUGAGAACCCUUCAACUCCAGUCCAGAGUCAGGUAGUCAACGGGAAACCCACCUAGUCCAUACCAAGAAUACUCGAGUCAACCCUGGCUUUUACCAUGGACGAGGCGGCAUUCCUUCACUAAAAGGAAAUAAAAAAGUGACCGUGCCAAUCUUCCCAGCUAUUGAAUCACUCGUAAAUUAUCAUCAAACAAAGUCAGCGGGCAAGAAAUUUUAAGACGCUGCCCAAUUUGAGUUUACUGAGAUUGGUGCCAUUCCUCACUAGAACAGCCAGGAAAGAAGCAUCAUUCGAUGUCCAACCAAGGAUUUGCACAAAUAGGCAGGGUAAUGCAUCAUGGAAUUAGAAUAUUCUUUGAGGAUGAGGGAUACUGUCAAGAUCGGGCCUUGUCCAACCGAAAUGCUGGGAACAUGAGAAACAAAAAGUCAUCAUGAAUUCAAGCUACUCACAAUGUCCAAAUAACUCCAGCUGUGUCGAAGAAUUUGAGUCAUACUGAGACUGAUUCUCCCUCACGAGAAAAGGAUACACAGGAUUUCGAUUGUCACUGCCAAACAUCUUCCUGGAAAUCCGAAAAUUAAUCGUUAGUAAUUCACAGUGGCCGAUGUGCAUUCAAGACAAAUGGAAAAAAUAGGCAAAAAAACUCUCGGAACAUAAGUCUUCUUGAGACAGAGUAGCAACUGAUUACUUGAUCAAACGGCCAUAGAUUGUAUUACUGAAAGCAGAAGAACUAGCACAGGAGGAUUCAAGACAUCAAGAGUUUGUGAUUUAAAGCCUGGUAUCCUAAGAAGCAACGCCUACGCAUACAUAUAUAUAUAUAUAUAUAUAUAUAUAUAUAUAUAUAUAUAUAUAUAUAUAUAUAUAUAUAUAUAUAUAUAUAUCAGGAUGGGUGUUUAAAUGAGAGGUCAGAAGUCUAGCUCAAGUCAGAAUCAACAAAAACGGAAGGCUCUGCCGCCUGUUGUUCAUUCAGUCUAUAUGUUCAAAUUUGUGUAUAUAUAUAUCUACAUAUUCCCACAGCCCGAACGUUAAGCGCCUAUCAAUCAACAGAUGAAUCAAAGGCAAACGAUGGUGGACUAGAGAAACUGGGGACGCCCAAGGAUAAUCAGUAAGCGUAGUAAUUCCUUCAACUUCAAAGAAAAAAAUGAAACCGCUUUCGUUUCCCGAUUCGAAGGUUUAUAUUAUCUCAAAGCUUUGGACGAUCCUCGCACUACUUCAAAGAAAAGGCGGAUGCUCCCGCAAGACCCGCACUCGAAGGGAAGCAGAGAGUCAUCCAUGCGGCCCCCAUGGAACCAGCAAUUAAGGAAUAGAUAGCACGAGAUAAGGACCGAUUCAAUCGCAAACGAAUGAAACUCUCCGGAAAACACACUCCCAACCUUCCGUCCCUAUGAGAAGAAGGGAAAACCAGACGUCCAAGGAAACUGGACCCUAGACCCUCAUCCAGCCACCAUCGACUAAAAUAGCACAAGGAAAAGAGAGAAGCAGGGGGAACUCGUGUCUGCAACAUACGGCGACAGAGGGUUCUCUUCUAGGCGAGCCGAUCCCAUCGAACCCACACCGACCCCAAUUCGGGACCAAAAUCAACCCGGAAAAGGAGCAUGCUUUGUGGGUUGGAUUGCGGAGAGCACCCAACAGCCGUGAGGCGAACGUUCUUCCCCCCGUCUUUAAUUCCUCGCACGCCUCUUCUGGGGCCUCCCUUGCCUGUUGUUACUCGGCGUCGGCGGUAUCUUUCGUAUUCGGCUCUAACUUCGACGGGGCUCCGUUUCCGGCCGUAGAACCGGAAAUGACUUAAAUACCAUCCAUACCGUUACAAUAUCAACAGAUGAGUCCGGGGUAUAAUUGUAAACUUUCUGACGUUACCCUUCUCUGCUUUUAAUCGUUGCAAGUGUCCAUGAUUUUUCCUUCUUUAUUCGUAGGGACGGAGUUUAUAAUAUUAUAUUGGCUUU